rnacentral:tRNA from 1 species
ACCUGGCUGGCUUAGUCGGUUAAGCGUCUGACUUAAGCUCAGGUCAUGAUCUUACGGUUCUUGAGUUCGAACCCCGAGUCAGGCU